rnacentral:rRNA from 1 species
GACGAACGCUGGCGGCGUGCUUAACACAUGCAAGUCGAACGGAAAGGCCCUGCUUUUGUGGGGUGCUCGAGUGGCGAACGGGUUAGUAACACGUUAGUAACCUGCCCUUGACUUUGGGAUAACUUCAGGAAACUGCGGCUAAUACCUGAUAGGAGCUCCUGCUGCAUGGUGGGGGUUGGAAAGUUUCGGCGGUUGGGGAUGGACUCGCGGCUUAUCAGCUUGUUGGUGGGGUAGUGGCUUACCAAGGCUUUGACGGGUAGCCGGCCUGAGAGGGUGACCGGCCACAUUGGGACUGAGAUACGGCCCAGACUCCUAAGGGAGGAAGAAGUGGGGAAUAUUGCACAAUGGGCGGAAGCCUGAUGCAGCAACGAGGAGUGAGGGAUGACGGCCUUCGGGUUGUAAACCGCUUUCGCCUGUGACGAAGAGUGAGUGAAGGUAAUGGGUAAAGAAGCACCGGCUAACUACGUG